GAUGAACGCUGGCGGCGUGCCUAAUACAUGCAAGUCGAGCGAACGGACGAGAAGCUUGCUUCUCUGAUGUUAGCGGCGGACGGGUGAGUAACACGUGGAUAACCGACCUAUAAGACUGGGAUAACUUCGGGAAACCGGAGCUAAUACCGGAUAAUAUUUUGAACCGCAUGGUUCAAAAGUGAAAGACGGUCUUGCUGUCACUUAUAGAUGGAACCGCGCUGCAUUAGCUAGUUGGUAAGGUAACGGCUUACCAAGGCAACGAUGCAUAGCCGACCUGAGAGGGUGAUCGGCCACACUGGAACUGAGACACGGUCCAGACUCCUACGGGAGGCAGCAGUAGGGAAUCUUCCGCAAUGGGCGAAAGCCUGACGGAGCCGCGCCGCGUGAGUGAUGAAGGUCUUCGGAUCGUAAAACUCUGUUAUUAGGGAAGAACAUAUGUGUAAGUAACUGUGCACAUCUUGACGGUACCUACUCAGAAAGCCACGGCUAACUACGUG
rnacentral:rRNA from 1 species